AACAAUUCAAAUUACAUUGCAGCGGAAAAAAUUCAUUAAACAACGUAAUGGCACAACGACCUCAAAAUAAACAACUUAUCAAAAUUCCAUUCUAGGUGGUUCAUCAACAUAAAUCAUAAAAAUACGUAACACAUGGAAACAAAGCAAGAUCCCCAUCCGUUACGUAUCAGAGCGACCCUAAGACGACGCGUGAGAGAGUCAAAUCACUUCAACAACUAAUCUUGG
rnacentral:lncRNA from 1 species